rnacentral:rRNA from 1 species
AAUUUUCCGCAAUGGGCGAAAGCCUGACGGAGCAAGACCGCGCGGGGGAGGAAGGUUCUUGGAUUGUCAACCCCUUUUCUCAGGGUAGAACACAUUGACGGUACCUGAGGAAAAUGCAUCGGCUAACUCCGUGCCAGCAGCCGCGGUAAUACGGGGGAUGCAACCGUUAUCCGGAAUGAAUGGGCGUAAAGAGUCCGUAGGUAGUCAUCCAAGUCUGCUGUUAAAGAGCGAGGCUUAACCUCGUAAAGGCAGUGGAAACUGGAAGACUAGAGUGUAGUAGGGGCAGAGGGAAUUCCUGGUAUAGCGGUGAAAUGCGUAGAGAUCAGGAAGAACACCGGUGGCGAAGGCGCUCUGCUGGGCUAUAACUGACACCGAGGGACGAAAGCUAGGGGAGCGAAUGGGAUUAGAUACCCCAGUAG